rnacentral:rRNA from 1 species
AGAAUCAACGCUGGCGGCGUGCCUAACACAUGCAAGUCGCACGAGAAAGGGGAGCAAUCCCUGAGUACAGUGGCGCACGGGUGAGUAACACGUGAAUAAUCUACCUCCGAGUGGGGAAUAACUGAGAGAAAUCUUAGCUAAUACCGCAUAACACUUACGAGUCAAAGCAGCAAUGCGCUUGGAGAGGAGUUCGCGGCCGAUUAGUUAGUUGGCGGGGUAAUGGCCCACCAAGACGAUGAUCGGUAUCCGGCCUGAGAGGGCGCACGGACACACUGGAACUGAAACACGGUCCAGACUCCUACGGGAGGCAGCAGUGGGGAAUUUUGCGCAAUGGGGGAAACCCUGACGCAGCAACGCCGCGUGGAGGAUGAAUAUCUUGGUAUGUAAACUCCUUUCGAUGGGGAAGAUUAUGACGGUACCCAUAGAAGAAGCCCCGGCUAACUUCGCGCCAGCAGCCGC